AAGGGCCCCCAGUGUUCAUUUGCUCCUUAGAGAUAGUAUCCUGGUCCUCAAAUUAAACCUUUCCUUUCCUUUGUUGUUCUAUCUUGUUUGCUUGGCUCGUAACACUGGCAUUCGUUAACUUGGAAAAAUCCAUCUGUAUACUUUCCUUGAAAGCCAUUUCUACACCAGAGAUUCCCAUGCCUUUGCUAAGGGGGCCUUUGGCUGGGAGAGAAGCAAUUUCUACUGGAGAGUCUCUGCUCCUUUUCAAAAUGAUUGGUGCUUUUCUCUGGAUCCACUGGUGCCUCCCCCACCCCACCCCUGCCCCACAGCCUCCAUCCUUCUCUCUUUAUCUAACCCAGGGAUUGUCAACCUCGUCCCUGCCGCCCACUAGUGGGCGGUAGGGGCGUUCUAUGGCACAAGCUGAAUCCUCCUUCCAUCGAGCACUGGGGGGCGGUAAGGAAAUUUUACCAUCAAGAAAGAUGCAUUAGUGGGCGGUAGGUAUAAAAAGGUUGACUACCCCUGAUCUAACCCCUGAAUCAACUUUCUGCCAUCGCAGACAACCCCCAGGCUGUAGGGUGAAAAGGUUAAAAGAAUUUGAGAGCUAUGAUGAGAUGCACGCUGAAUGCAUUGAUCCUGCCAAAGGAUUUGUUUCCCUUUCUGUGUUAACCGCUUAUUGAUUGUCACAAUGACCUUUGUCUUUGUGAUUUUUUGUUGGCCUCUUUCCUGCCACAGAGUCUUGGUUGGGUCUUCUUUGCGCAGACCCGCCUCUCCUACCCAAACACAGAGAGAAGGCAACAGCUCAGGGGUAAAGCACCUGCUUCGCAUGCAGAAUUUCACAAGUUCAAUCUCUGGCAUCUCUGGGUAGGCUGGAAAGACGGCUUGAAACCCCAGGGAGCCACUGCCAGUCCGUGUAGGCAAUGCUAACAUCAGUGGGCAGCUUCCUGUACUACACCAAGUGAGACCACUGGUCCAUCUCUCCCUUUAUUGUCUACACCAGAGAUAGGGAGCCUGUGGCCCACCAGAUGUUGGACUGCAGCUCCCAUAAUCCUCAGCCACAGGUCCCCAUACCUGGUCUACACUGACUGGCAGCAGCUCCCAAGGGUUUCGGACAGGAGUUUUUCCCCAGCUGUCUUUGGAGACACCAGGAGUUGAAUCUGGGGCUCCUACACAUAACACUUGUGCUCUGUCACUGUGCUAUGUCCUUUCUUCCGUGCUCACGGGGAAAAGAAAAUGGCGGCUGCGUCCGUGCGUUGAGGAGCUCUGACCACACAAUAGAAUUGUUGCUGUGAGAGCCAGCAGCUGGAGCACUUGGAGUUUUGAAUGCAGGAAAGACUGUUUGUGGCCUGUGGGGUGUUUUCUUCCCCUCACAGUAAUGCCUGGGAAGGCGGUGAGGGAAAACUGAAAGAGGGACACUGGCGAAGCCACCCAGCAGACCUCAAGGCUGAGCUGGGUGUUACCAACAUGGCUACACAGGGAACAUCUGGAAAAAGAAAUCUGCCUCUCCUUCUGAUCUGCUUCUUCUGUUAAAGCUCAUCCAAGCUCGGUUUUCUGUGGAACAGUGACAUCUUGAGCCUGCAUAGCUGGUCCCUGGAGCAGCAAUCCAGACCUACUUCGGUGCAAGUUCUGCAAG